rnacentral:tRNA from 1 species
GCCUGUGGCCUAGUGGGCAAGGUUACAGUCUUGGAAACAUGAGGUUGUAGGUUCAAGCCCAGCUUGGAACA